rnacentral:rRNA from 1 species
GACGGAGGAUGCAAGUGUUAUCCGGAAUCACUGGGCGUAAAGCGUCUGUAGGUGGUUUAAUAAGUCAACUGUUAAAUCUUGAGGCUCAACCUCAAAAUCGCAGUCGAAACUAUUAGGCUAGAGUAUAGUAGGGGUAAAGGGAAUUUCCAGUGGAGCGGUGAAAUGCGUAGAGAUCAGGAAGAACAUCGGUGGCGAAGGCGCUCUGCUGGACCAUAACUGACACUCAGGGACGAAAGCUAGGGGAGCGAAUGGG